rnacentral:rRNA from 1 species
UACGAAGGGUGCAAGCGUUGCUCGGAAUUACUGGGCGUAAAGCGCACGUAGGCGGCUUCUUAAGUCGGUGGUGAAAUCCUGGAGCUCAACUCCAGAACUGCCUUCGAUACUGGAAGACUUGAGUCCGGGAGAGGUCGAGUGGAACUGCGAGUGUAGAGGUGAAAUUCGUAGAUAUUCGCAAGAACACCAGUGGCGAAGGCGGCUCACUGGCCCGGUACUGACGCUG